UACGGAGGGUGCGAGCGUUGUCCGGAAUCAUUGGGCGUAAAGGGCGCGUAGGUGGCCCGGUCAGCGUGCGGUGAAAGCUCGGGGCUCAACCCCGAGUCGGCCGUGCGAACUGCUGGGCUUGAGCACUGUAGAGGCAGGCGGAAUUCCGGGUGUAGCGGUGGAAUGCGCAGAUAUCAGGAAGAACACCAAUGCGAAGGCAGCUCUCUGGGACGGUACUGACGCUGAGACGCGAAAAGCGUGGGGAUCAAAACAGG
rnacentral:rRNA from 1 species